rnacentral:rRNA from 1 species
CCCUUAGAUGUUCUGGGCGGCCCGCGCACUACAUCGGCACUAGCAAAGAGAUCCUAGAUUGAAUUCUUUGGGGUAUUCUUCUAAAUGGUGUCGUGACUGGGAUAAAUCCUUGUAAUUAUUGGUUUUGAACGAGGAAUUCCUUGUAAUCGCGGUUUAUCAGCUCGCGUUGAAUGCGUCCCUGCCCUUUGUACACACCGCCCGUCGCUCCUACCGAUGGAUCGUCCGGUGAAGCUCACGGAGUGACUGUUCACGCAACGGUUUACGAAGUGAAAUGGACCUCACGAUUUAGAGGAAGGAGAAGUCGUAACA